rnacentral:tRNA from 1 species
UCCUUCAUGGCUCAGACGGUAAAGCGUCUGCCUACAAUGCAGGAGACCCAGGUUCGAUCCCUGGGUUGGGAA